rnacentral:misc_RNA from 1 species
GACAAGCAUAUGACUACUGGCAGGAUCAACCUGGUAGCACGUCCUCUUUGACAUCCAGCGUCGGUAGUUGCCCUCCCAUCCACUUGCAUGGCAAGGCAGAGCCAACUACCGAGCUAGUUGUCGCAAUUGAGCGGGCCUAGCUCAUCCUACUUGUAUGAGGAUCGGCACAGUAUGUUGUGUAAUCCUACCACUAACUGUGGAGAGGUAGAGGCAACACAUGUUCCGGUUGUUCUCAAAUUUGGAGAGUCUAGCUCAUCCUACUUGUAUGAGGAUCGGCACAGUAUGUUGCGUAAUCCUACCACUAACUGUGGAGAGGUAGAGGCAACACAUGUUCCGGUUGUUCUCAACUUCGGAGAGCGUCCCGUCCUACUUGUAUGAGGAUCGGCACAGUAUGUUGCGUAAUCCUACCACUAACUGUGGAGAGGUAGAGGCAACACAUGUUCCGGUUGUUCUCAAAUUCGUAGAACGUUAUUAGGGUCAGGCCGAGGCAACCAAAAAGGGCCACGAGCCUAUAUCAUGAGCAACAUCCAAAACCAACAGCGAGAGCGAGGCUGCCUUGAUAGUACCAAGCACGGAAACAUGCCGGACCAAGAGGAAACGCCGCAAACGCCAUAUGGCCGCAGUAGAACACCCAAAGGCGUCCACCGCGAGUCAACUUUGUAUGAAGCACCACUGCCCGUAGGUCGGGUAACAUCACGCAAGCACCCGAAAGCAAACUGAAAGAUAUCCCACACGAAUGAGAAGACACGGCGCCAAUAGUCGGCCGCACAAAGACGGGGGAACUACCAGCAGACACGGGUCCAAAACAGCUCAUGCGCUCGCGUAGCCA